UUAUUUCUGGCAUUGACUCUGAAAAGACUUAACCAAACGUAUUUUUGAAAAAAAAAAAAAAAAAAAUUAUGUGAAUUCAGAUUUAAAUCCCGGAAAAAAUGUAUAUUCUAAAACAAGAAUUAGAAGCUACCACCUGGAGUUGAGAUAAAAUUAUUAUCCUUGGAAUUUGCUGACGAAUUGAAGACGCGUUUUUAGUCCGAAAAAUCGAAUACCAAUGCCCGAUUGUUCGCGGAUUUCCCGCUACAAUAUAUAUUCAAGAAAUAUCAUCUGAAGUUCAUCGCUUGAUCUGUGUAAAUUACGUUGAAGUAUUUGGAACACUUAUUUAAACACCUCACGCACGAGCUCGUUUUAUGCUGCCUCGGAUUAAUAUUUGGAGUUGCUACUAACGGAAUGACAAAUUGAAUACAUAUUAAGAUGGAAAUGCAUUUAUUUUUACAAUUUAUCUUUAUUCCCAAAUCAAGGCUUAAAUGACUGAACGUGAAUGCUUUUGUAAAUGUAUUUGAGAUUUGCUUUCAAAACUUUAUGAUCUAAAAUUAAAACAAGCAAAAUUAAUAAAAUACAUUUGGAAAAGCAGA